UACGUAGGGGGCAAGCGUUGUCCGGAUUUAUUGGGCGUAAAGAGCGUGUAGGCGGUUCGGUAGGUCCGUUGUGAAAACUCGAGGCUCAACCUCGAGACGCCGAUGGAAACCCCCGAACUAGAGUCCGGAAGAGGAGAGUGGAAUUCCCGGUGUAGCGGUGAAAUGCGCAGAUAUCGGGAAGAACACCCGUGGCGAAGGCGGCUCUCUGGCCCGGUACUGACGCUGAGGCGCGAAGGCGUGGGGAGCGAACGGG
rnacentral:rRNA from 1 species